rnacentral:guide_RNA from 1 species
AACUAAAACACAGUCCGAGAGAUAGAAGUGAAUGAUGUGAAAUAAAUUAUC